UCGAAUCUCCCUGGAAGCU
rnacentral:snRNA from 1 species